AAAAAAAUAAGGUCUUGUAGUGGAGCUGCAAACUCCAUACCUUCCAACAAAGGUUCAGUCACAGAGCCAUGACAAAUAAAAUAGCAUGGACAAAAUGCUCUGAAACAAAAACAGGACCUGCAAAACUAUGAGGCUGGGAUAUGCAAAUAAAU